AACGAACGCUGGCGGCAGGCCUAACACAUGCAAGUCGAACGCCCGUAGCAAUACGGGAGUGGCAGACGGGUGAGUAACGCGUGGGAACGUGCCCUUCGGUUCGGAAUAACUCAGGGAAGCUUGAGCUAAUACCGGAUACGUCCGUAAGGAGAAAGAUUUAUCGCCGAAGGAUCGGCCCGCGUCGGAUUAGCUAGUUGGUGAGGUAAUGGCUCACCAAGGCGACGAUCCGUAGCUGGUCUGAGAGGACGACCAGCCACACCGGAACUGAGACACGGUCCGGACUCCUACGGGAGGCAGCAGUGGGGAA
rnacentral:rRNA from 1 species